UCUAACAAAUCCCUAUGAAAAGGGUGGAUUAAACUUUAUCGAUUUCUGUACUUUUAAUAAUACCUUUAAAAUAGAUUGGUUGAAACACUUAUUUAAAAACAUUAACUCUAUUUGAAAUGUCGUACCACGUCACUUGCUGACAAAACUGGGUGGUCUGAGCUUUUUCUUAACCUGUAAUUAUAAUAUCGAUAAAGUCCCGAUAAAAAUGUCAGCCUUUCACCGCCAGGCCUUCCUUUCAUGGUCUCUUAUUUUUAAACAACUUUUCACCCAACAAAUAUUUCAUUUGGAACAACAAAGACAUAUUGUUUAAACACAUAUCUUUAUUUAUUGAUUACUGGUUUAAUAAUAAGAUUAUUUUAGUUGACCAAUUAUUUAACAAGGAGGGUCUUCUUUACUCUUAUAAAGAGUUUGUAGAAGAAUACACAAUUCCUGCGUCUCCUGCAGAUAAUGCAAAAGUCUUUGGAGCAAUUUCUUCAGGUGUUUGCAUGUUAUAUAGAGCUCAACCAAGAUUGGACUCACAACAAUUAACCUUACCAUUACUGACUGACACUCAAGUUGGUAAGAUUUGUUUUUCUUGUGACAAUGGUAAUAACAAUAAAUUAAUUAAAUCUCUGUUCAAAACAGAUUUUAUUACAGUCCCAUAUGUAGUUCCAUACUGGAACAAAUUUGUGCAAAACAUUGACAGGAGGAAGGUCUGGCUCUUACCCAACCGAUAUUUGCUGACCAACAAAAUUAAAGAAAUAUAAUUUAAAAUAAUUCAUAAGUUUUACCCGAUCAUAUUGUCAAAAAAAAAAA